rnacentral:ncRNA from 1 species
GGUAGUAGCAAAUAUUCAAAUGAGAACUUUGAAGACUGAAGUGGAGAAAGGUUCCAUAUGUGAACAGCAAUUGGACAUGGGUUAGGAUCUCUUCCUAUCGAUACGCUUAUCGAAAAUGAAGUUUACCGAAUAUGCAGCGUGCGACAUACCUUUUUGAGAGCGGUACGGGAAGAGAAGGGCGAAUAUUUGCAGCGACUGAGGGCCCAAAAACGUUUCCAACGGCGGUUAGGGAAGAAAACAUGUUGGCAGGGACCGGAGGCCCAAUAGAUUCGACGCAACUCUACCCUUUCGAAGAACGUCGUGAGGGUGUGAGUUUGUCCCUGCGACGUUCCCACAAACGUAUUCCAAUUAGCUUACUUGUC